rnacentral:rRNA from 1 species
CCUACGGGUGGCAGCAGUGGGGAAUAUUGCACAAUGGGGGAAACCCUGAAGCAGCGACGCCGCGUGAGGGAAGAAGGAAUUCGUAAUGGAAAGCUCUAUCAGUAGGGGAGAAAAUGAAGGUACCUGAGUAUGAAUCCACGGAUAACUACGUGACAGCUGCCGCAGUAAUACGCAGGGGGCAAGCGUUAUCCGGAUUUAUUGGGUGUAAAGGGAGCGUAGGCGGUAGGUGAAGUGUGGAGGGAAAGGCGGGGGCUCAACCCCCGGACUGGCGGUGAAACUGUACGGCUGGAGUGUAGGUGAGGUAAGUGGAAUUCCUGGUGUAGCGGUGAAAUGCGUAGAUAUUAUGCGGAACACCAGUGGCGAAGGCAGCUUACUGAACUAUAACUGACGUUGAGGCACGAAAGCGUGGGGAGCAAACAGGAUUAGAUACCCCUGUAGUC